rnacentral:rRNA from 1 species
AGCAGUAGCCACGGGAACACGGAGGGUGCAAGCGUUAUCCGGAUUUAUUGGGUUUAAAGGGUCCGUAGGCGGAUCUGUAAGUCAGUGGUGAAAUCUCACAGCUUAACUGUGAAACUGCCAUUGAUACUGCAGGUCUUGAGUAAAUUUGAAGUGGCUGGAAUAAGUAGUGUAGCGGUGAAAUGCAUAGAUAUUACUUAGAACACCAAUUGCGAAGGCAGGUCACUAAGAUUUAACUGACGCUGAUGGACGAAAGCGUGGGGAGCGAACAGGAUUAGAUACCCCCGUAGUCCCUGUCUCUUAUAC